ACCCUAGUUGCCUCUCAUCCCCACCUUAUAAAGCAUCAUCCUCUUCCUCCUAUUUCCCUUACGCCUCGUCUAAAUCUAAAUCUAAUAUCUUGUUUAGGGUUUUUACAUCUACUUCCAAGCUACAAAGAUCAGAUCUUUAUCCUAUUCAUUCUUCCUCACCGUCUUCAACUUUAGUUUACAAUCAAACUCAUGUAUUUGGGACCGUGACGAUUAUUGUGAUUAGGUCUCGUUCGUCGUAAUUGGCCUUAUCGGCCUUGCCGACCAUUCUGCUAUAUCACCACCCAUAUUCUGAGUCCCUUUUUUCUGCAACCAUUUCCUUAUUUUUCUUUAAUUUUCGAUUUUUUGUUACAAAGGCUCGUGCUUUUUCAAUUGGCCAAUGAUUAAAAUUACAAAAAAGACAAGCAUAUGUCUGAAGUAAUUCGUGUGGAUCAAUCUAAUCUUCUCUAUGAGGCCGAUCAAAUUCCAGAAUUUAGCUGAAAAUUUUGAGUUUUAAUAUUUUAUUUUCUUGCAUUAUGUCUUGUUUUUGCUGCAUAGGCUUUAAUACGUGAUUUUACUUUUUCCCUCAGAUACCCAAAUACUUUGCUUUGCCAGUGAUGAAGGUUUAUAAUAAAUGGAUGGUUUAGUGUGCUCAUCAAGUUUAAAUGGCCAAUGAUGAUAAAUCCAAAGGCUUGUUUCUCUAAACAUUCGCAGUGGCCGCCUAAGAGCUUUCGCCUUCGCCAGGCUUGAGAGCUUGUGCUGCUUUAAUCCUUCCUUGGAUGUCUGAGGUCACUUAAUUUGCCAAAAUUUGU